GAUGAACGCUGGCGGCGUGCCUAAUACAUGCAAGUCGAGCGAACAGACGAGGAGCUUACUCCUCUGACGUUAGCGGCGGACGGGUGCGUAACACGUGGAUAACCUACCUAUAAGACUGGGAUAACUUCGGGAAACCGGAGCUAAUACCGGAUAACAUGUUGAACCGCAUGGUUCAACAGUGAAAGACGGUCUUGCUGUCACUUAUAGAUGGAUCCGCGUCGCAUUAGCUAGUUGGUAAGGUAACGGCUUACCAAGGCAACGAUGCGUAGCCGACCUGAGAGGGUGAUCGGCCACACUGGAACUGAGACACGGUCCAGACUCCUACGGGAGGCAGCAGUAGGGAAUCUUCCGCAAUGGGCGAAAGCCUGACGGAGCAACGCCGCGUGAGUGAAGAAGGUCUUCGGAUCGUAAAACUCUGUUAUUAGGGAAGAACAAAUGUGUAAGUAACUAUGCACGUCUUGACGGUACCUAAUCAGAAAGCCACGGCUAACUACGUG
rnacentral:rRNA from 1 species